rnacentral:rRNA from 1 species
GAUGAACGCUGGCGGCGUGCCUAAUACAUGCAAGUCGAGCGAAUGGAUUAAGAGCUUGCUCUUAUGAAGUUAGCGGCGGACGGGUGAGUAACACGUGGGUAACCUGCCCAUAAGACUGGGAUAACUCCGGGAAACCGGGGCUAAUACCGGAUAACAUUUUGAACCGCAUGGUUCGAAAUUGAAAGGCGGCUUCGGCUGUCACUUAUGGAUGGACCCGCGUCGCAUUAGCUAGUUGGUGAGGUAACGGCUCACCAAGGCAACGAUGCGUAGCCGACCGGAGAGGGUGAGCGGCCACACUGGGACUGAGACACGGCCCAGACUCCUACGGGAGGCAGCGGUAGGGAAUCUUCCGCAAUGGACGAAAGUCUGACGGAGCAACGCCGCGUGAGUGAUGAAGGCUUUCGGGUCGUAAAACUCUGUUGUUAGGGAAGAACAAGUGCUAGUUGAAUAAGCUGGCACCUUGACGGUACCUAACCAGAAAGCCACGGCUAACUACGUGCCAGCCGCCGCAGUAA